rnacentral:rRNA from 1 species
UACGUAGGGUGCGAGCGUUGUCCGGAAUUACUGGGCGUAACGAGCUUGUCGGUGGUUUGUCGCGUUGUUCGUGAAAUCUCACGGCUUAACUGUGAGCGUGCGGGCGAUACGGGUAGACUGGAGUACUGCAGGGGAGACUGGAAUUCCUGGUGUAGCGGUGGAAUGCGCAGAUAUCAGGAGGAACACCGGUGGCGAAGGCGGGUCUCUGGGCAGUAACUGACGCUGAGAAGCGAAAGCGUGGGGAGCGAACAGG